AGUGAACGCUAGCGGUGCGCCUAACACAUGCAAGUCGAGCGACUCUUCGAGAGGAGCGGCGAACGGCUGAGUAACACGUUGGAACCUACCCAGACUCAGGGAUAACAUCGAGAAAUCGAUGCUAAUACCGGAUAGUCUCGUAAGAGUAAAGCUUUUGCGGUCUGGGAGGGGCCUGCGGCAUAUCAGGUAGUAGGUAGGGUAACGGCCUACCUAGCCUAUGACGUGUAGCUGAUCUGAGAGGAUGAUCAGCCAGAAUGGGACUGAGACACGGCCCAU
rnacentral:rRNA from 1 species